rnacentral:lncRNA from 1 species
GAUUUUUAUAUGUUAAUGUAUAUGUUGCCUAUAGUACGUGUAAAAUUGAUCCUUAGAUAUAUAUGUUAAUUUUGCUUUUGUUUGUGUUUUAUGCUUCUUAUGCUGGAAUAAAUUGAGCAGAUGAACUUGCCCUCGUAUAGUAUUGGACCCGAUAACUAAUUGUGGCGAAACUGAGAAAAUAUGGGCAGAUGGGUUUUCUAUUGCCCUCUAUCCUGCUUGUUAGGAGUGGAUUGACCAAACCAAAAUAUUAUUUAAAAUUAAUCAGAAUUCAAAGACUACUGGUUCUAUUAACAAAAACGUGUAUACCCAAGUAAUAGGACUGCUUACUUCUAUGCGUUAAUAAUGGGAACUUAACUUAUAAGGAAAUGAUAACUCCUAUCUAAAGUAGAAACGAACACCUGCAGUGACGAAUGGCAACGAGAUCGACUGCAGCAAAGUCCUUGCAAGUGAACAGUAAUUUCCAAAUGGUCUUCCAAUACAACUUUUCAUGAUCUGCCCAUUUUGAUUGAUACUGUCUGCUCCUACACCAAAUACUACUUACUAUUAAUCCUUCAUAAUUGGCCAACCUAGCCCUUGUUUGAGCCCCCUUUAAGUGAAAGAAUGCAUUUUAAAAUAGUGAUUGAUGUCGAAUGUGUGGUUAAAAAUUAUGAGUUUUGCGUUUGCGUGUAAUAUUAUUUUAUUGAAGAAUGAGUGGUUGAAAAUGAGUUUUGAAAAAAUGAAUUUUUGGAAGAAUAUGGCUCAAACAAGGGCCUAGUAUUUGAGUUGGUGUUAUCUAAUGUGGAUUCUAUAAAACCUGAUCUUUAUAAAGAUAUUAAUAUGCUGGUGGAAGUUGAGGCUUGACCUUUGAGUACAAGUUCAGAGAAUGUGGAUCAUUUUACUGAAUAAAUGGAACUUCCAAGUUGUAGUUGUAGGUUUUCAAAGCAUUGCUCUUUCUGAGCAUUGUAUUUCUAAGAAUUUCAGCUUGCAUAUAAGUGUGACUGCUUUGAUACUUCGUGUUAACUGAC